UGACAACUGGUCACAAAGUCAACCAGUUACUGAGGAACAGGGAGGAUAAAAUGCAGGGGUUGCCGCCCCUUGUGCCCUGUGUGUUCAGGCUCUGACAAUCAAGGAGAACCACGUCUUCUGAGGAUAUCGUAACACGGCAUGGAUUGUAAGUUCCUCCGAGAAGCUGUCCCUUCUGAAGAGUUUAGAAAAUGACUGGCACAGAAAAGUAUCUAAAAGGAGGAAUCUCUCACUCCCUAGCUCCUGUUUACCACAUCACUUCUGUCAUUACUCUGAAUUUACAUUGUGAACCCCCCAAGGAUCUUCCCCACCAGCAGGGAACUCAUAAACUGGGAUUGAGAACAAGACUGGGUUAAUCCUCCUGGCAAACUCUGCGGAGCGGGAUGGAGAGGAUUACAGGGGAGAGCUCAUCCCUUCCAAAUACCACCAUGGAGCUGUGCUGCGCGAUGGCCUUCGCAUGAAGUGGCUGGGACAUUCCAGCUGGAGCCACGUGGGAUUUCUUGCUCUAUCUCCUUCUCUGUCUGUGUUCCUCUCCAUCUCUCUGCAUUCUCCCCCCGCCCCCCG